CUUUUUUAUCUUCUCGUUCCUUCUUCUUUCUUCUUCUUCUCUGGUUCUCCUCUCCUCCUUUCUGUUGAUUCAAUCUCAGAGAUUCGAACCUCUUCGGUUCGAGAAAUUCUUUUAAAAACUUGUUAUCUUGAUGAACUGAGUGGCAAGAUGAUGUUACGGAAGUUGAUUUAGUUCUGAAAAGCAGAGAAGUGUUACUCUUUAUUAACAACGAUCGAUUCAAAGGAUGAACCGGUAGAUCGUGGAUCUUGUGGUAGCCAUGGCUUGUCGUCAAUUCAGUUGGGAACUUUGUAACCUUCUUGUAAUCAUUGAGUUUCUUUCCUUUGCGAGCAUGAUGUGCUUUUAUUAUUUAUAUGAAUGUAUAAUGUAAUUUCAUUGAACGAUGUUUUGUACUGAAUGUAAUUAUAUGCGUGUGAUAUGCAUUAUGUGGUUUCCCUCGCGAGGAGUGUAUGUGUCUCCCCACAGCUCCUUCCUAAGUUAAGUAGGGUGGUAUGCCAUCAGUCGGAAAUAAUAUUAGUAGGGCGGUACGCCGACAAUAAUAUUAUAUUUUAUGGUUAUUAAGAUAGUAGGGCGGUAUGCCAUCCGUCGGCAAUAGUAUUAGUAGGGAGGUACGCCAUCCGUCAGAAUAUUAUAUAUACUAUUUUAUUUAAGGGAAAUCACUUGUGUGCAUAUUAUGCUUGUAUGAAUAACUUUUGCUUCUUUAUGCGUGAAUUGCUGAAUGUUUCCUUUCA